UGGGUUACAGGUGUAUGCACAGGCUAUU
rnacentral:piRNA from 1 species